rnacentral:ncRNA from 1 species
UAUUAGCCUUGCGGGAAAGGCGUGAGGUUGGUAAAAUAACUAGGUUCGUUUAUAUUCCCCUGUAGCUCAGUUGGUAGAGCGCCUCCCUGUAAUACAUAACUUGCAGCGCCUGAAAGCAAUUUUGGGUGGAAAAUCGGGUUAACUGUCGGGAAGCCUGUUGACCGAAAGGCCAUGGUAAUCCGCAGCCAAGCCCUUCGGCAGGCUCAGGGUAAACCCCUGUGUUUGUUGAUCGGAAGGUUCAGAGACUAUACGCCUGACACCGCUCAGCGGUGAUGAGAUAGUCCAAGCCUCUUCGAAAGUUGAGG